CAACUACUCCCUCUGUCCCAAAUUUCUUGUCUUAGAUUUGUCUAGAUACUGAUGUAUCUAAUACUAAAAUGUGACUUGAUACAUCCGUAUCUAGACAAAUCUAAGACAAGAAUUAUGGGACGGAGGGAGAACUUU
rnacentral:pre_miRNA from 1 species